CAUCUUUGAGAAAUAAUUAUAAUACUUUAAGUAUUAGCAGAGUCUAAAAUCUCCUCAAAGCCU
rnacentral:tRNA from 1 species